rnacentral:sRNA from 1 species
CCACGCCGCCCCUGUGGGCGUUUCCUCCCUAGACUUCGGGCCGUUCCGCAAGGGCGGCCUUUUUUGUUGCUGCGC